UAGAGGCUAGCUCAGCCAAGUAGAGCCUGAGAUUCGAAAUCUCAGGGUUGUGGGUCCAAGCCCCACGUUGGGUGAA